GAACACCUGUGCUGGGAGGAGGCUAUAAGGCAACGGGACACAGAUGCUCAGGGCUGCAUCCAGCCGGCCGGCCUCAGGUGCCAGCUGGAAUACCGGAGCGUGGAUUUUCUUUAUUUGAGUCUGCUCCUUUAUGGUACCUUUUAAUUGAAAAAAAGAAUGGGGCACAUGAAAUAAAAGAAAUACAAAUUAUUUUUUAAAAAAUUCAUAAUAGAAAAACUUAAACCUGAAUGGAAGAAUCUCUAGGCUCAGAGGUUUCACAACAGCAUUCUAUCAAAAUUUAAAUGAUUAAGCCCAGCUCUACUUCAUAUUUUCUUGGAAGUAUAAUAGAGGAUAGUUUAUAAAGUUGGUGUUGCCCUGAUACCAAAGCUAGACAAUAGCAGUGCAAAAAAGAAAGACCUAUAGACCAAUGUUGCUCAUGAAUUUAAGUGCAAAAAUUAUAUAAAAUACCAUAUAAAGUUUAGCAUGUAUAAGAAAUAAUAUACUAUAGUUAAACUUGCUCUAAGAUUAUAAAGUUGAUAAGUGGAAUUUUUCAUGUAAUCUACCACAUUAAGAGGGAAGAAACUGGAAGAGGGAAGUCUGGAACUGCAGACUUGAAGCUCAGAACCAGGAACUCAUAUUACAUUUACACAAGCUUUAAAAAAAAAAAAGAGGGAAGAAAAUGAAAAAAAAAAUCAAAGAAUCAUGUCAGUUGAUGCAGA
rnacentral:lncRNA from 1 species